rnacentral:rRNA from 1 species
UACGAAGGGGGCUAGCGUUGUUCGGAAUCACUGGGCGUAAAGCGCACGUAGGCGGAUGUGCCAGUCAGGGGUGAAAUCCCGGAGCUCAACUUCGGAACUGCCUCUGAUACAGCACGUCUUGAGUCCGGAAGAGGUGGGUGGAAUUCUUGGUGUAGCGGUGAAAUGCGUAGAUAUCAGGAGGAACACCGGUGGCGAAGGCGGGUCUCUGGGCCGAUACUGACGCUGAGGAGCGAAAGCGUGGGGAGCGAACAGG